rfam:Triticum urartu cultivar G1812 contig473440, whole genome shotgun sequence.
AUACUACUCCCUUCGUUCGGAAUUACUUGUCUUGUCUCGGAUAUGAAUGUAUCUAGAACUAAAAUACGUCUAGAUACAUCCAUUUCUGCGACAAGUAAUUCCGAACGGAGGGAGUAGAUG